UACACGCUGUGACUAGCAUAUCAAUAAGCGGAGGAAAAGAAACUAACAAGGAUUCCCUUAGUAACGGCGAAGUGAAGCGGGAAGGAGCUCAAAUUUGAAAUCUUCAAAGGUUUUACCUUGACGAAUUGUAGUUUAAAGAAGUGUUUUCUGCUGAAGUUUUGGUAAAAGUUCUUUGGAAAUAGGACAUCAUAGAGGGUGAGAAUCCCGUAUGACUGCGAUUUGUCAGCUUUGUGAUACACUUUCAAAGAGUCGGGUCGUUUGGGAAUGCAGUCCAAAACGGGAUGGUAAAUUUCUUCUAAGGCUAAAUAUUGGCGAGAGACCGAUAGCGAACAAGUACCGUGAGGGAAAGAUGAAAAGGACUUUGAAAAGAGAGUUAAACAGUACGUGAAAUUGUCAAAAGGGAAGCGUUUGACACCCAGUGUUGUUUUCUCGAAAAUCAAUUAAAAAUGGCUCGAUUUUGUAUUGCUUGAGACCUUAAAAGCUCACUGUACAUUUUUCGUGUCUUUUUUAAUGCACUUUUCGUUUAACAAGUCAACAUCAGUUUCUUUCUGUUGUAAAAGGGUCAUUGGAAGGUGGCUUUCUUUUCGGAGAAAGUGUUUAUAGCCUUUGGCCUCUGCAAUCGGAAGAGACUGAGGUCUGCAGCGUAGACUCUUCGGGGUUAGAUACAUUUGUGCUAAGUUAUAGCUUUUUAUAGACAACUUGUUGACUAUAAUUAGUCUUGUAGCUUACUCGCUUAUGCUAUUUUACCUACGCUUUAGGAUGUUGAGUAGCGACAUACGCAC
rnacentral:rRNA from 1 species